AACGAACGCUGGCGGCAGGCUUAACACAUGCAAGUCGAGCGCGUAGCAAUACGAGCGGCAGACGGGUGAGUAACGCGUGGGAAUCUACCCAUCUCUACGGAACAACUCCGGGAAACUGGAGCUAAUACCGUAUACGCCCUUCGGGGGAAAGAUUUAUCGGAGAUGGAUGAGCCCGCGUUGGAUUAGCUAGUUGGUGGGGUAAUGGCCUACCAAGGCGACGAUCCAUAGCUGGUCUGAGAGGAUGAUCAGCCACACUGGGACUGAGACACGGCCCAGACUCCUACGGGAGGCAGCAGUGGGGAAUAUUGGACAAUGGGCGCAAGCCUGAUCCAGCCAUGCCGCGUGAGUGAUGAAGGCCUUAGGGUUGUAAAGCUCUUUCGUCCGGGACGAUAAUGACGGUACCGGAAGAAGAAGCCCCGGCUAACUUCGUGCCAGCAGCCGCCGUAACAC
rnacentral:rRNA from 1 species